rnacentral:lncRNA from 1 species
GUGAGAUGGCUCAGUGGGUAAGAGCACCCAACUGCUCUUCCGAAGGUCCAGAGUUCAAAUCCCAGCAACCACAUGGUGGCUCACAACCAUCCGUAACAAGAUCUGACUCCCUCUUCUGGUGUGUUUGAAGACAGCUACAGUGUACUUACAUAUAAUAAUAAAUAAAUCUUUAAAAAAAAAAAAAGUUUAUUGAGUUGUAUAGACCUUGGGUCUGGUUAGUUUUGGUGGGUGAUGUUCUUAUUUAUUUACAAAUUGUGGUUUAUAAUAAAUUUUGAUUUUUAAAAAAAAUCAAAAACAAGGACAAAACAAAGAAAUGACAACUAGUAACUUUUUCUGGAGACUGAAGCCUCUUCCCUCAGACACGGAGAUUCCUGUCCUCGUGUCUGUGGCAAUGGACCUCUUCCCUGAAGGAAAAUCUGCCUCAGCCUUCCUCUCAAAUGACCGACCCCCUUCACUCCUUCUGCAAUAACCUUAUAUUUUGGUGCCAAAACUCAGGAGAAAGGUGUCAUGGGAACAGAUCACCCUGCGCCGUUUUCCAAUCUUUGCCCCUUUAACCCCUCUAUCCAUUCCCGGGACUUUCUUUAGCUGAGAGCUGGAGAGGUAAGCCAGAGGACCAUCUCGUGGGAGGGGCUUCCUUAGCCCACCACUACACUCUGCCAGGCAGCACCAGCUCUUCCCCCUCCAUCACUAGCAAGACCGCCUCACCCUGCCUAGCAACCUCCUCACCUAGCGCUCCGGAGGCGGCUGCUCCUCACAGUGGGCGGGGCCAAGACUUGCCGUUUGUGCCUUCAUUCGAUUGGUCUAAGAGAUCUACAGAUACUCAGGUUUUCAAAUCUCCAAAAAUGGUGUUGCCCCUGGCAGAUUGACCACACUCCAGUAGAAGGCACCAUGGUCAACAGAAGCUAGGCUUGGAAGGUUAUCUACACAUCUGUCACUUUCACUAGAAAGUAAAACUUCUCUGCAGGUCUGCUCGAGGACUCCUGUAAUUACAGUAGUUGGGCAGUUGAGGGGCAAGGACUGUACGUUUGGGGAACAGUCCUGGGGUGGGGUGUCAUGGUGCACAGAUGAGAGGGGACUUCCCAUUUCCAUGUGUUGAAUCAAGGGGUUGCCAUUAGCAAGGCGCCCUUGGUUUUGGUCUCGGCUUACUCCAAAGAUUAAACACAGCCAAGUGGUUGUGCUUUCUCUGUCCUGGAAGUCAUGUGUAUGUGUGUGUGUGUGUGUGUUAUGUGUAUGAGUACAUGUGUGUGUGUGUUGUGUGUGUGUGUGUGUGGGGGGUUACAUGCUUGCCUGCAUCAACUUUUUCGGUAGAGUUUCUAGACAAACUCCUUUGUUUAAGGACAAUUCUACCAAAACGCCCUUCUUAACGUCCCACCAGCCAUCUUCUGUGGGGGCUAAAAUUUGCAAGGCCAAAUUCUGCCCCCUCCCAUAGUCUUUAUUCCCUAUUUUAAGAUGAUGUAAAUGUCACAUCGGAGUGGCGGUUCCCAAGAGAGGGCAAGCCCUGGAGACCUGGGACCCUGCUUUCCUGCCUGCUGCCCUCACUCAGCUUUUCUG